CAGAGGGUGCGAACGUUGCUCGGAAUUACUGGGCGUAAAGCGCGUGUAGGCGGGUCGGCAAGUCAGGCGUGAAAUCCCCAGGCUCAACCUGGGAACUGCGCUUGAAACUGCCGGUCUUGAGUAUCGGAGAGGGUGGCGGAAUUCCUGGUGUAGAGGUGAAAUUCGUAGAUAUCAGGAGGAACACCGGUGGCGAAGGCGGCCACCUGGACGAUUACUGACGCUGAGACGCGAAAGCGUGGGGAGCAAACAGGAUUAGAUACCCUGGUAGUCCAAGCCGUAAACGAUGGGUGCUAGGUGUCUCGGGUAUUGACCCCUGAGGUGCCGUAGCUAACGCGUUAAGCACCCCGCCUGGGAAGUACGGCCGCAAGGCUA
rnacentral:rRNA from 1 species